AACGAACGCUGGCGGCAGGCCUAACACAUGCAAGUCGAACGCCCCGUUCGCGAGUGGGGACGGGUGAGUGCACGUGGGAACGUAUCCUUUGGUUCGGAACACUCCGGGAAACUGGAGCUGUACCGGAUAAGCCCUUUGGGGGAAAGAUUUAUCGCCGAAGGAUCGUCCCCCGUCUGAUUUGCUGUUUGGUGGGGUAAAAUGCUACCAAGGCCAUAUCCGUAUCUGGUCUUUGAGGAUCACCUCCCACACUGGGACUGAGACACGGCCCAGACUCUAUGGAGGCAGCUGUGGGGAAUAUUGGACAAUGGGCGCAAGCCUGAUCCAGCCAUGCCGCGUGAGUGAUGAAGGCCUUAGGGUUGUAAAGCUCUUUCGUCAGGUACGAUGAUGACGGUACCUGGAUAAGAAGCCCCGGCUAACUUCUUGCCACCAGCCGCCGUAAUACUAAGGGGGCUACCGUUGUUCGGAAUUACUGCUCGUCAAGCGGAUGUAGUCGGAUCACUGAGUCAUGGGUGAAAUCACGAGGGUCAUCCUCGGAACUGCCUUUGAUACUGGUGAUCUUGAGUACUGGGAGAGGUGAGUGGAACUCCGAGUGUAGAGGUGAAAGUCGUAUAUAUUCGGAAGAGCACCAGUGGCGAAGGCUGCUCACUGGCCCCGGUAGCGACGGUGAGAUGCGAGAGCGUGGGGAGCAGACAGGAUUAGAUACCCUGGUAGUCCACGCCGUAAACGAUGGAUGCUAGCCGUCAGCCAGCACGAUGGUUGGUGGCGCAGCUACAGCAUUAAGCAUCCCGCCUGGCGAGUACGAUCGCGAGAUUAAAACUCAAAGGAAUUGACGGGGGCCCGCACUAGCGGUGGAGCAUGUGGUUUAAUUCGAAGCAACGCGCAGAACCUUACCAGCCCUUGACAUCCCGGUCGCGGAUCCCUGAAAGGGGAUCUUUCAGUUAGGCUGAACCGGUUACAGGUGUUGCAUGGCGGUCGUCAGCUCGUGUCAUGAGAUGUUGGGUUAAGUCCCGCAACGAGCGCAACCCUCUCCGUUAGUUACCAUCAUUUAGUUGGGCACUCUAAGGGGACUGCCGGUGAUAAGCCGCGAGGAAGGUGGGGAUGACGUCAAGUCCUCAUGGCCCUUACGGGCUGGGCUACACACCUGCUACAAUGGCGGUGACAAUGGGCAGCAAUGGCGCGACCCGGAGCUAAUCUCAAAAAGCCGUCUCAGUUCGGAUUGCACUCUGCAACUCGGGUCCAUGAAGUUGGAAUCGCUAGUAAUCGUGGAUCAGCAUGCCACGGUGAAUACGUUCCCGGGCCUUGUACACACC
rnacentral:rRNA from 1 species